AGAGUUUGAUCAUGGCUCAGGAUGAACGCUGGCGGCGUGCUUAACACAUGCAAGUCGAACGAUGAAAGCGGGAGCUUGCUCCUGCUGGAUUAGUGGCGAACGGGUGAGUAACACGUGAGUAACCUGCCCUUGACUCUGGGAUAAGCGUUGGAAACGACGUCUAAUACCGGAUACGACCCUCGGAGGCACCUCCUGGGGGUGGAAAGAAUUUCGGUCAAGGAUGGACUCGCGGCCUAUCGGCUAGUUGGUGAGGUAAUAGCUCACCAAGGCGACGACGGGUAGCCGGCCUGAGAGGGUGACCGGCCACACUGGGACUGAGACACGGCCCAGACUCCUACGGGAGGCAGCAGUGGGGAAUAUUGCACAAUGGGCGAAAGCCUGAUGCAGCAACGCCGCGUGAGGGACGACGGCCUUCGGGUUGUAAACCUCUUUUAGUAGGGAAGAAGCGAAAGUGACGGUACCUGCGGAAAAAGCACCGGCUAACUACGUGCCAGCAGCCGCGGUAAUACGUAGGGUGCAAGCGUUAUCCGGAAUUAUUGGGCGUAAAGAGCUCGUAGGCGGUUUGUCACGUCUGCUGUGAAAACUGGAGGCUCAACCUCCAGCCUGCAGUGGGUACGGGCAGACUAGAGUGCGGUAGGGGAGAUUGGAAUUCCUGGUGUAGCGGUGGAAUGCGCAGAUAUCAGGAGGAACACCGAUGGCGAAGGCAGAUCUCUGGGCCGUAACUGACGCUGAGGAGCGAAAGCAUGGGGAGCGAACAGGAUUAGAUACCCUAGUAGUCC
rnacentral:rRNA from 1 species